GACGAACGCUGGCGGCGUGCCUAAUACAUGCAGGUAGAACGCACAGUUUAUACCGUAGCUUGCUACACCAUAGACUGUGAGUUGCGAACGGGUGAGUAACGCGUAGGUAACGUGCCUGGUAGCGGGGGAUAACUAUCGGAAACGAUAGCUAAUACCGCAUAAUAUUAAUUAUUGCAUGAUAAUUAAUUGAAAGGUGCAAUUGCACCACUACCAGAUGGACCUGCGUUGUAUUAGCUAGUAGGUGAGGUAACGGCUCACCUAGGCGACGAUACAUAGCCGACCUGGGAGGGUGAUCGGCCACACUGGGACUGAGACACGGCCCAGACUCCUACGGGAGGCAGCAGUAGGGAAUCUUCGGCAAUGGACGAAAGUCUGACCGAGCAACGCCGCGUGAGUGAAGAAGGUUUUCGGAUCGUAAAGCUCUGUUGUAAGAGAAGAACGGGUGUGAGAGUGGAAAGUUCACACUGUGACGGUAUCUUACCAGAAAGGGACGGCUAACUACGUG
rnacentral:rRNA from 1 species